UUUUAUCUGGUUAAUUUUGUCCAACAGUUUUCAAUGCAAAAUUCACUUCAACUUAUGAACUUGUAUAAUGAGUGAUGAUGCUUGUAGGAAUGAUGCUCCGAGAGCUUUGUCAGAAACUUUUCUGAGGAUAUUGUUUCUUUAAAGUUACUAGUAAUAAUGAACUCAAAUGUGUUUUUGAAUACUUAGAAGUUCAGUAGUGUUCUAUUGGGUAGUAGAUUAAUUUGCCG
rnacentral:lncRNA from 1 species